AUAAGUAACUACAAAUAAAUCCUAAAUCAUGAGGAUAACUGUAGGAAAUUUCAGCCAAUAUCUGUGCAAUUUAUAUUCAAGCACUAUAAAUUUCUUCUAGAGAGAAAUAAUAAAAUAAUCAUCUAUUUAAAUUGUAAAAUCACUCAAGACACGUACGGGAUUUGUUUGUUUGUUCUACGGCCUAAUGACAACUAGCCUAAGGGGACAUCUAUGCUCAAAUCCGAAAAAUUUCGAAAAUUUACGAAAAAUUCUGAAAAAUACUACAACGUUCUGGCAACACUGUGGUGCAAACCGUUUUAUGUUAUCUUGAAAAAUAACGUAAUUAGAGUCAAAUUUCCCGCUGCAACUUUCGUGAAUCCGGUUCUCGCGGCCUGGGUGCGCCGUGGGGUGUUGUGUCUUACAUUGUAGAAGUCUAAUAUUUCGUAAUAGCGUGGAAAAUAACGUGUUAUGCAUAAAACGAAUAUAAACUCACUCAUUGGCAACAGUCUCGUGUGAGAGAGGGAUGGGCUUGCUGGCUAAGUCAGUCACUCUUUGUGUCCCUCAGCUGGUGGAUGUAUCGUGGAUGCGCUCCCACAAUUUGUGCUAUUUUUACUGCAAAAUGACGUACAAAACGAAGAUGAGGAAAACUAUGAAAGCAUGCUAGCUGCCCGUAGAAGGUGCGAGCUGGCCAGAAUCGGUAGAUUACGCACUUUGACGAGUGAAGAUCGAGGCGGCCACUCAGCCGCAAGUGUUGCAGCCCGCUGCCCCCCCCCCCACAAUCGCACCCUCUGCCCCCCCCCCCACAAUCGCACCCUCUGCCCCCCCCCCCCACAAUCGCACCCUCUGCCACCGCACAUUUUCCACCUUCUACUCCAGGUCUUGCACCUGCUACUCCAAAUCUAACUGGACUGGUACUUGAACAAAAAGGACAAGGAUAUGCAGAGACCAACGAGACGCAAAACCAAACCAAGAAAGGCCCCUGAGGGGGCCCCAGCUAUGGGCAGGUGCCUACUAGUGCCACUCCAGUGCCACCUUGAGGACCCAUAUUUCUGACCAAUUAUAUUAGGCGAUCUGCAUGGAACUUGUACACCUUACUGAACCCAUGCCUAUCUACAAGCGAUCUGCAUGGAACUUGUACACCUUACUGAACCCAUGCCUAUCUACAAGGGUGCAAAUUUUGAAUGAUAUUGGUCAACAUCAACCUCAGCUAAAGGUGGCUGAACUUUGACCUUCGUUUGUGCAGGCUGCGAUGCUGAAACUUGGCCCAGGUGCAGCACCUUUCACAUGUAUCAGGAUAAUAAAUU